rnacentral:tRNA from 2 species
GGGCCCAUAGCUCAGUUGGUAGAGCGCGUGACUCAUAAUCACGGUGUCGCAGGUUCGAGCCCUGCUGGGCCCACCA